AAACUUUAAGUUUAAUCCUUACUUUGUAUUGUAGCUAUUUUUCAUAAAAACACCUUGAAAUCUUGCAGAAAAUUCAUAGCAUGGACUAUAAAACUCAUACAUAAACAUAGAGUUAAAAUAUUCUGAAAAAUGGGUCCGGGCGGUGGUGCACCUGGUUACAGUGUUACAAUGUGCAAGGACCUGGGUUUGAGCCCCUGGUCCCCACCUGCAGGGGGAAAGCUUUGCGAGUGAUGAUGCAGGGCUGCAUGUGUCUCCUUCUGUAUCCCCCCAGUCCCUCCCUCUUGAUUUCUGACUGUCUCUAUCCAAUAAAUUAAAAAAUUCUGAAAAAUAUGACUUGUGAAAUAUCUCUGGUGAUUUUUGGAUUUUUUAAAUUUUACUAAGCUUUUGGAUAAGGAGGUUGAGAACGAAACCUUACUUCACCAUUUUAUGUUACUCUUUUUGUUUGUUCUUGUUUAUCAGUGCCUGGGUUCAAACUGAGGGCCUGCUGUGUGCAAGACAUGCACUUUACCAUUGGGUCCUCUUCCCAGACAAAUUAAUACUUACUGCUGAAACUGACAUUUGACACUAUAAAAACAACAAAGUUCCUUUUGAUUUUUGACUUAGAAAGAUUUUGUAUUCUAUAUAUAGAAGUUAGUGCUACCUUAAACAUAAAAGCCAUAAAGGUACAUCUGGAAUAAGGGUAGUGUGUUACUCCUAGUCCUUUAUCUGGGUCGUCAUUAAGAAAUCUGUGAAGUUUAGAGAUUGAAAACCAUUGGUAUAGGUUACCUCACUCCUGAUUCCGAUCUAAUGAGGGUGAUUUGUUUAAAUCAUACUUUGCCAGGUUCUGCUACUCUGGAUUUUUCAAGGAAAAGGAGAUACAGCUUAGUGAUUCGUUGAUGUCAGGGGGGUUUCUUCUUUUCCUGUCAUAUUGAAAAUAUCAUUUUCCCUAGUUAAGUUUGGAAGGUGAAUUUUAAAAAGAUGUAUUUAUGAGACAAAACAGAACAUCACAUCUGGCAUAUGUGAUGGUAGGCUUUGAACUCUGGACCUCAUGUUUCAAAGUCCAUUGCUUCGUCAACUGUGCCACCUCCUGUACUGCUAGAAGGUUUUUUUUUUUUUUUUAAAUACUUGGUCUACACAUAUUUAUAACAUGGAGUUUUGCUUGUAAGAGUUUCCAAGUCUGAAUACACAGUUCUUAAAUGAAUUUUUAGCGCCUAGAUACGUAUAUUUAUUGCAAGAAUAUCCAGUCCUGGCAAAAAUCUCCCAUGGUACUUCCAUGAAAAACUUACUAAAUUAUUUAAACAUUCUUACUGAAGAGCUAAAACAAUUUAAAGAGCUUUCUUUGCCUACAUGGUUUUAUUAUUCAAAAAAGGCUUCUAAUUUUUUUUUUUUUUUUUUUUUUAAUCAGACCACUGCUCAGCUCUUGCUUGUAGUGUCAGGAUUGAACCUGGAAUCCUGGAGCCUCUAGCACUUUUUUUAGCAUAAGCAUUAUGCUAUCUCCCUGGCCCCUAAUUACUUCUCUUUUGUUCUUGUUUUGCCUCCAGUUGCUAGGGCUUGAUGCUAGCACUACAAAUCCACUGCUUCUGGCAGCCUUCCCCCCAUACGGGUAGAUAGAGGGAGAGACAGAUAGACACCAGCAGACCUGCUUCACCACUUGUGAAGCAACCUCCCUUGCAGGUAGGGAGCCAGAGGCUCAAACUGGGAUCCUUGCCUAGGUCCUUGCACUUCAGACUAUGUGUGUUCCACUCAGUGCACCACCGUCCAGCCCCCUCCCUAAUUACUUAUCUGAAAAGAUCUUUUCAGAAUUCUGUUCCUAAGACCUUUUUUUUUUUUUAAAGCUAUUAAGUCUUAAUAGCCACCAUAUUUCACUAGUUUUCAGCACUUAAUUCUACAAGAUUAUACUUGUUUUUUAUACAGUUUAACUACAGUUUCACAUGUUAAGCUUCCAAAUCCACCUAACUCUCCUAUGUAAUUAUCCGAAAUACUUUUCCAAACAUUAAAGUAGUAGUAAAAGUGUUUCUAGGACAUUUAGAAUCCAAUCCUGUUUGUAGUUGAGGGUGGAGAUGGGAAAAAUUCUGAAGGUAGUGAGAGUUGUAGGUCUGUCUUCAUAUAAUUCUCCUGUUAUCUUUUUAACCCAUCCAUUAACUGCUUCAGCCAUUGAUACUAAGCAGUUUCAUCAUCAUAAUAUAUAUGAAUAUCAUUAACAUCCAAAAAUUAGAAAACCAUUUUCCAUCACAUCUUACCAUGUCAUGGUCUUCCUCAAAUUGCCUUCCAGUAUUUACUGGGUUUCACUUACCACUUGUGUCUAGCUUAACUUUUUCUGACUUCACCGAUUGCUGCUAGGAACGUGGCUGGUCACUCAGCAACGUAACCCAAAUCACAGGGGGAAGACCUUGAAAUAUUGGAGAGACUGAUCUGCUCUGAAUAUACUCAAUCCAAAGAAGUUCCAGGGAGCUGCAUCAGCUUGCUGUGAUUUUUGUCACCUUUUUUUUUUUCUCCCUCAUCAUGGACAAUAAAACUGGAAAGAAAAAGCUAAGCAAUUCGACAGGAGACAAAGAUGAGUUGCAAGAGUUGAUUUGUGGUGACCUGAAGACUUAACAUCUCCAAGACUUUCUGAGCCUUUCAAACGUUUCAACCUGUCAGACUGUUGGGAUGAUGCAAGGCGUUGGAAGACAGAAUUCAUUCAUUCAUUCACUGUUGCUGUGACUGGUGAAUAAUGGCAGAUCAUCUACCUGUUGAGGAAGGAAUCAGUUGUAACAGGAGCAGAGGGAAUCAUCAAUUGUUUUUUAACUGCUGUAGUGAAGAUUGGGUUUUGAACUUUUUUGAAGCCAAGAGGUACCAACUAAACUACAAGACAAAACAA